CUCAGGAGAAAAUAUAGUUUAUUUGGUUAUGUUCAUAUCGAUUUAUGGAAUGUUAGAUGAUUUUAUAAUCGAUUUACGGAUUUAAUUGCGUAUAUUUAUAUUUAUUUAUUAAUUAUUUGACUUCCGUAAAACCGUCCACUCGUAACGAGGUAGCAAAUUUUCUUCCCGGAAGUUUCAACAAAACUCACCUUUAGCCUAAUUUCAAUAUUCCGGACAUUUUUCGUGUUUUGACUUUUUCGAUCCGGAGUACGGUUUUUCCCGGAGUCGGUCCGGCGGAGUUUUGCGGGUAUUUUAAUUGUUGAUAAUUAUCUGGUUGUCUCGAUAAACGUGAAACUAGAUAUUUUGAUUCAUCCUUAUCUUGUAAUAAUUGCAAUGGGACCCGCAUACUAAUGACUGACUAAAAAGCCCCGUUUUGAUGAUUAUCUUGAAAACCAGUACCGAUUGGACCCCGUUUUAUUAUAUAAAGCUACUAAAUACAUAUUUUCAUGUCAUAAACGAUCCAAAGGGGUACCAAUUAUUCGUAAGUAUAAAUAAACCUUUCUAGAGCCUAUUUUCAACCGUAAAAUCAUUUCACUACUUUCUCUGCACGAAUACCGAGAGAAACCGAGCGGUGUUCUUCGUGUUCUUCAUAAUCAAACGAAGAUUUGAAGGUGUUAUUGGAGUCAGAAUCAAGCGUGCGAAUAGUCAAAUCGAAGAUAUCGAAGAGUAGAACCCAGAUCAAUCAUCAAAAACAACAUGAGAUUCACAGGAUUGGGACGAGACGUGUACGCUCGAAGACGUCAGGAAGUCGAAAUGGUAUUGCAAGGCGAAUAAGGGAUGAAUCGAGUAAGCGAAGCGAUGUGGCGAAUAGAGUAUAGCUAGAGAUGGUCUAGAGAUUAUGAGAUGCAUAGAUUGUGAAAGUGGAAAGAUGAGAUAGAGAUGUGAGACUGGAGUCAGAUUUAAGGCAAGUAUCCUGCACCCUGCUUUUGGAUAUAUUGCAUAUUCUGAUCCAUUCUUUUUAUAUGUGUUGCAAGUAUCCUAAACCUUUCUCUUGGAUAUAUUGCAAAUAUUCUGAUCCAUUCCUUUGGUA